AGAGUUUGAUCCUGGCUCAGGACGAACGCUGGCGGCGUGCCUAAUACAUGCAAGUAGAACGCUGAAGAGAGGAGCUUGCUCUUCUUGGAUGAGUUGCGAACGGGUGAGUAACGCGUAGGUAACCUGCCUGGUAGCGGGGGAUAACUAUUGGAAACGAUAGCUAAUACCGCAUAAAAUUGAUUAUUGCAUGAUAAUUAAUUGAAAGAUGCAAUUGCAUCACUACCAGAUGGACCUGCGUUGUAUUAGCUAGUUGGUGAGGUAACGGCUCACCAAGGCGACGAUACAUAGCCGACCUGAGAGGGUGAUCGGCCACACUGGGACUGAGACACGGCCCAGACUCCUACGGGAGGCAGCAGUAGGGAAUCUUCGGCAAUGGGGGGAACCCUGACCGAGCAACGCCGCGUGAGUGAAGAAGGUUUUCGGAUCGUAAAGCUCUGUUGUAAGAGAAGAACGGGUGUGAGAGUGGAAAGUUCACACUGUGACGGUAUCUUACCAGAAAGGGACGGCUAACUACGUGCCAGCCGCCGCGGUAAU
rnacentral:rRNA from 1 species